rnacentral:lncRNA from 1 species
AAGAACAUUCAGUAUUAAUGGAUUCCAAACUCCGUGUGAUAACCAGCCGGUCCUGGACCAGUUUAUCAUCGCAGUGUGGACUGAUUCUCUUUUGCAGGAAGUUAGUUUUGACUUCACCAGCUGGAUUGGAGGGCACCUGUGGCAUACCUUGUCCUAUUGCUGUGGGGGACUUCGUCCAGCUUUUAGACAUGCAAGACUAAAUGUGAAUACCAUCUAUACGGGUGAGCAGCCAACAGGGUGGUGCUUUCUCUACUAGAAG